UCAGCCAUUUUCAGCCACCUGCCAUGGUGAAUGGAACACACGGCGAGUGUAGGUCAGCCAGAGGAGAUCCGCAAUCAUUACUGCGCCGGGCCCUGUAGCCUAUUUAAACCCACUCCCUCCUUUCAGGGAUUUCACUUUGCCUGAGAGUCCUGUUGGUGCCCUUCUUCUUCUCCGAGAGUUCCAUCCUGUUCGGCCUUAGGCGUUCUUCGAGUCGAUCCCCAUCUCUAUAUCUCUGCACUUCUCGGACCAACCUAGGUUAGUUUCAAAACUCCCCUCUUUGCUUUUUCUCUUGCUGUUCUUCUUCCAUUUUUCUUUUGUUACAUUUCGCCUGUUCAGUUUUCUGCGAGCGCCCCUUAUCUUAUUUUUCUCAAUUUUUUCGAGAUUUUUAGGAUUUUUGCUCGAUCCAUAAUAUCCUCCAGCACUUCCUCCUCUAGUAGUUCUAGGAGUUCGUCCGUCCCAGCUCCCAAAAACCUCAAUUUUGUAGAUGAACCUCAUCCGAUCUUUGUACCAG
rnacentral:lncRNA from 1 species